rnacentral:lncRNA from 1 species
UCCUUCUCCAUCUUUUUUUCUUGCACAACAAGUUAAAUGUCUAGCCGCAUAUCAAUUUUCUAAGUUUAUAAAUGAGUAAGCCCAUCAAGAUCAAAUCCUAUUGACCCAUAGAUCAGAAAAUAACCCACACUUCAAUGCUUACAAUUUAAGCUGGAAGGCUCAACCAAAUUUUUUGUGUAAUCCACACCCAAUAGUUACCCCGACAAUGCAAGAAUCUAUGUUUGUAGAAGCACCCUAUUACAAUGUGCCCUAUUCACCAUAUCAAUCUUCUCCAAGUAUCUAUAGUCCAUCAUUUGAAGAGAAGGUUUAGCAAGCAUUAGACAGGCUAGAACUCAUCCAUCAGACCCUUCACUCUUCUAUGCAAUCCUUAGUUGAACUAGAAAUUCAAGUUGAUCAAUCAGUAAUCACAAUCAGUGGGGA